ensembl:lncRNA
GAACCUCCAGGGAUGGGGCAUCCAUAGCUUGUCCGGGAAAUGACUGAGCCCACCUCUGUGACUUGUAGCAGUCAUACCUUAUGCAGUGCCUCCUAAUGCUUCAGUUCUCUUGCUUCUUCUGAUUGCUGAUGCCUGUGUGACACAUCUGCCAGCCACCUUUGAAUGUGGCAUAUAAUGACUUAGCUGAGUGCAGAAACACAGAACCAAUGUCUUUACUUGAACAAACAAAUUAUGAAUAGCUUGGUGCUCUUAACACUGCUUUAGCCAUGAUCCUUAACGCAUCACUGCUCUAGCAAACGCCAGCACUUGCUAAUGUGUGAGAGUCUGUGCCUUGCACGUAGUCUUUGGGGUCUGGGGCAAUCUCUUCUCUGCCUGGGAAGAAAAUGCCUCAUUACAGAGACCAAGCUCUGAGCAGACCAGGGAGGGAACAGAGAGGUGGAUGGAAGAGGAAUUAUCCACUCCCAUCCUCCUGGCUUAGCUCAGCAGAGCUCGUCCAGGGAGCAGGGCUAGGAUUUCACAGCUCAAUGGCAAACGCUGUGUAAAUCUGGCAGCAUCUCUGCUUCUGCUGCACUCGGAGCUCACAAUACGUGCUGCAGUCUGGGGUUGGAGCUUUUUAAAUUCUCAAGCACUCCCCCAGGCACUCUCUUCCAGAAUUGAUGUUGGUUCUACAGAACCCAACUCUGUGAACCGGGGCAGUUUGUUUGGGGGUGGGCAGAGCAGAGAGCUCAUCCUCUUGGCUGUUUUGGUGGUCUGAAUGUGAUGAAACAUGAAGGCAUAGGAGACCUGAGCUGCUAACAUGACCCAGGUGUGGGGCUACUUAGCUGGGGAGCUUUCAGAGCUCCAUUCCACUGCAAAAACUGAAAAAAGAAUGGUAACAUUUUAGAACGCAUUGAUUUCUUGUUCGACUGAGCUCCCCAUCAGCACAGGCUUACCAGAUCCCAACUACAGAAAAUACACAUCUGGCCUGGCCGUGUUUAAAAUCAUCACCAGUAAUUUGGUACAGCUAGAGGAUAGCUGUGUCACUCCCCAAACAAUUUUUUUUUGCAUGACCCUUAAAUGCUUGUGCCUGCUAUGUUGCCUUUAAAACAGAGAGAGGAUUAAAAUAAAUGUACUUUUCCCAGGGGUGCUAUCAGAUGCUAAUAAAAUCUUUAAUUAAUUCAGAUUCGGAUGGGCUCACAUUUCUCUUGCUAGCUCACAACUUCAAUCAAGUUUUUUUCUUUCUGUGACGCUGCUUUCACGCCACUUUUCAUUGCAUUUCUGAUUUAUCUGGAAUUGUGCUAUAUGGGCAUAUUGGCAGGAAAGGCUGGGAUAAAAGAAGACUAGGAUGAGAGAAAUCAUUAGCACAGGAUGUAUUUUCUGGGUUUUUUCCUUUUUCAGAAGAAAACCCAAAAGGUCCUAUUGCUAUUAUGAAUCCCCUAGGAACUCUUUAAAUUACAGACAAUUUGCUUGAUUGGACUGCACUGGUCUUAAGCAUUAAAGAGAGACAAAUCACUCCUAACAAAUGUUAAAUCAAAUAAGAUAGACAGAAAUCUUGAUAAUGUGAAAUGAAUUCUGCAAAAUUAAGACAUCUGCCGAAUGCUCGCUCCAUAAUAAAGCAAUAAUCUCCC